rnacentral:snRNA from 1 species
AAUACACAACAUACAUUCAAGA